GACGAACGCUGGCGGCGUGCUUAACACAUGCAAGUCGAACGGAAAGGCCCUGCUUUUGCGGGGUGCUCGAGUGGCGAACGGGUGAGUAAAACGUGUGUAACCUGCCCUUGACUUAGGGAUAACAUCAGGAAACUGGGGCUAAUACUGGAUAGGAGCUCCUGCUGCAUGGUGGGGGUUGGAAAGUUUCGGCGGUUGGGGAUGGACUCGCGGCUUAUCAGCUUGUUGGGGAGGUAGUGGCUUACCAAGGCUUUGACGGGUAGCCGGCACUAGAGGGUGACCGGCCACAUGGGGACUGAGAGACGCCCCAGACUCCUACGGGAGGCAGAAGUGGGAAAUAUUGCGCAAUAGCCGGGAGCCUGAUGCAGCGACGCCGCGUGCGGGAUGACGGCCUUCGGGUUGUAAACCGCUUUCUCCUGUGACGAAGCGUGAGUGACGGUAAUGGGUAAAGAAGCAACGGCUAACUACGUG
rnacentral:rRNA from 1 species